GACGAACGCUGGCGGCGUGCUUAACACAUGCAAGUCGAACGGAAAGGCCCUGCUUUUGUAGGGUGCUCGAGUGGCGAACGGGUGAGUAACACGUGAGUAACCUGCCCUUGACUUUGGGAUAACUUCAGGAAACUGGGGCUAAUACCGGAUAGGAGCUCCUGCUGCAUGGUGGGGGUUGGAAAGUUUCGGCGGUUGGGGAUGGACUCGCGGCUUAUCAGCUUGUUGGUGGGGUAGUGGCUUACCAAGGCUUUGACGGGUAGCCGGCCUGAGAGGGUGACCGGCCACAUUGGGACUGAGAUACGGCCCAGACUCCUACGGGAGGCAGCAGUGGGGAAUAUUGCACAAUGGGCGGAAGCCUGAUGCAGCAACGCCGCGUGCGGGAUGACGGCCUUCGGGUUGUAAACCGCUUUCGCCUGUGACGAAGCGUGAGUGACGGUAAUGGGUAAAGAAGCACCGGCCAACUACGUG
rnacentral:rRNA from 1 species